CUACGGGAGGCAGCAGUGGGGAAUCUUAGACAAUGGGCGCAAGCCUGAUCUAGCCAUGCCGCGUGAGUGAUGAAGGCCUUAGGGUCGUAAAGCUCUUUCGCUGGGGAAGAUAAUGACGGUACCCAGUAAAGAAACCCCGGCUAACUCCGUGCCAGCAGCCGCGGUAAUACGGAGGGGGUUAGCGUUGUUCGGAAUUACUGGGCGUAAAGCGCGCGUAGGCGGGCUGUUAAGUCGGGGGUGAAAUCCCGGGGCUCAACCCCGGAACGGCCUUCGAUACUGGCAGUCUGGAGUUCGAGAGAGGUGAGUGGAAUUCCGAGUGUAGAGGUGAAAUUCGUAGAUAUUCGGAGGAACACCAGUGGCGAAGGCGGCUCACUGGCUCGAUACUGACGCUGAGGUGCGAAAGUGUGGGGAGCAAACAGGAUUAGAUACCCUUGUAGUC
rnacentral:rRNA from 1 species